rnacentral:rRNA from 1 species
UACGUAGGUCCCGAGCGUUGUCCGGAUUUAUUGGGCGUAAAGCGAGCGCAGGUGGUUUAUUAAGUCUGGUGUAAAAGGCAGUGGCUCAACCAUUGUAUGCAUUGGAAACUGGUAGACUUGAGUGGGCGAGAAGUAUGCGGAAUGCGUGGUGUAGCGGUGAAAUGCAUAGAUAUCACGCAGAACUCCGAUUGCGAAGGCAGCAUACCGGCGCCCUACUGACGCUGAGGCACGAAAGCGUGGGGAGCAAAUAGG